rnacentral:lncRNA from 1 species
UGUUUCUUCCAGGUGAAGAAGUUGUCUUCGUCUUGGUUGAGUAUAACCAUAGGGAGAUUUUCGUCGGGUUGAUAAUCUGGAUCCACAUAGUAGGGAGAUUCUGGAUCGAGUUCGGCCAUUGUCACUGUUCUCUGAGCUCUGUAUAGUGUUUGUUUAUCUUUUCUAGAGAUUUGCUUUUUAUCUCGCUACUGUUGGUAAAAGAUAAUGAUUUAUAUAUUCCAAAGUAACUACUUGGGUUUAACUGGGCCUUGGACUUCUCUUUCUAAACACAAAAGAUUGUAUUUUCAUUCACAUGAAAGUAGAAACCAUCUCAAGUGACCAUAUGAUUUCUUGUGUGUAUUUCUUGGUGAUAUUAACACACUAAGUUUGAGUUUCAUUCUUGGAUUACGUUUUCAUUACCAGUGGCAUCUUAUCUCCACUUGCACGGAUACAUGUUUGAUCUUUCUAUUACAUGGGAAGACCACCUGAGGAUAGCAGUGGCAAUUGCUGGAACUCUUCUCUGCUUCUAUUCCAAUUAUCCACCGUAAUAUCAAGACUGCUAAUAUUACCCUAGAGCUAUAAACUGACUUUGGUGUUUCAAGGCUGAUACCGAAGUAUAAAGAGCAGUUCGAAAAGAGUGAUGUUUAUAGCUUUGGGGUAGUCCUCAUUAAACUGCUUUGUGGCCAAAAGUUCAUGUGCUUUGAAAGGCCACAGCAGUAAAAACAUCUGGUGAGUUAAUUUUCUUGUGCCACAAAAGAGAAUAGGUUGCAUGAGGUUGUUGACGGCCAAGUAAUGAAUGAAUAUAAUCAGAGGGAGAUCCAGGAAGCUGCAUGAAUUGAUGUCGAGUAUACAAGACUCAUGGGAAUGGAAAGGCCAAAUAUGAAAGAAGUAGCUGCAGAGAUAAAGGAUUUGAGAGGCACACAAACCAUACAUCAGUGGUAAGAACAGAAUCCAUCACUGCAAGGUGGUAUUAUUCAAGAAAAAACAUAACAAGAAACACAGAGCAUAAAACAUAACACAUGAAAACACAGAUUUAUAAAAAAAACAUAACAAAAACAAAGAGUUGUUCGAGAGAAAACAUUCUUCAGCAUCUUGACGAGCUCAUCCUCAAUUCUGCUUUGUAAACCAAAGAGUAGGCUUCCUUCAACGAAGGAGGAGGAUCCAUGAUCAUGAUUUGAGUUCUCACAAAGCUUAAAUCUUGAUUCAAACCCAUCAGAAACGCGUAACGCUCCUCCUUCUCCCUCGCCUCCUCAGCUCGUUUCUUGAUCUCACACCGGCAACCGCCACACGCACACUCCGGCAAGCGAUCAUACUCCCAAAGCUCCAUCCAAGCGAUCCUCAUCUUCGCGAAAUAUCUCGGCAACGAGUCACCAUCUUGUCUCAGCGUCGGGAUUCUCUGACGAAGCUGGUAGAUCUUAAAAUCCACGCUCGGGACGAAUAUCAUACGGAGAUCAUCCCAAGCUUUCUGCGCCGUGUCGGCAUAACGCACAUAGUCUUUCAAGUUUUCGCUCACGCAAUUCAUCAUCCAACACUUGACCCUUGCGUUGCACACUUCCCAUGGUUCGUAUAGCGGAGAGGAAGGUUUCGGUAUCACGAAGGCACCGUUGACGAAGUCGGUUUUGCUCUUGCUUAGAAGGAAUUGGAGAAAGUGUCUUUUCCAGAUGAAGUAGUUGUCUUCUGCUUGGCUGAGUAUAACCAUGGGGAGAUUCUCGUUUGGUUGAUAAUCUGGAUCGACGUAGUAUGGAGAUCUGGGAUCGAGUUCGGGAGUCAUACUUUCCGCCAUUCUCUCUGCUUUUUGAGCUUUGAAUACUGUUGGUUUAGACUUUCUAGGGUUGCUUUUUAUCCCGUUACUGUUUGAAAAGAUAAUAAUAUAAAGUCCUAGUAAAUUCAUACGAUUUUUGAAAAUAAGAAAAAGAUCCGAAAGAGUUGGGUUUAAGUAACAGAGCCUUGGGUUCUCCUCAGCCCAAAAUAUUAAUUAAGGACUGCCAAACCAAAAGCUGAUCCUAGUUUCAAGCAAUACAAGGGAGAAGAGUUAAGCAAAUGAAUAAAAGAAUAUGAGCGGAAACAAAAAAGAAUGAAAUGAGAGAGUGUUCAGGAGGAGGUCCAGUUAAACCAAAAGAGAAUAGGCUUGGUUAAAAGAAGGACAAGGUUUCAUUAGCAUGAUUCGUGCCAUCCCUUUGCCAAGUUCUCUGUCCAACCCCAUCAGAUACGAGUAUCACUAGCUAUAUGAUAGAAUCAAGAACGUAGCAAGGUUGAACAUUUAAGCUAGCCGCUUGUUGGAGGAUGGACCGCUGGUCCAUUCGCAAAUUGGAUAUUGGAGGAAAAGCCCAGCAGAGACCCACGUUGAAGGAAGGACGUUCGCGGCGCACGCAACGAACAGAAGCCUAGGACAUGUAGCCUGCACCGACCGCCGAUUAUAGACAGAGUGCUUAUGCGGUCAGCAAGUACUGGAUUGGUCUAUUGGAAACCAGACAUGCAAGCAAGUCGGAAGCGCAAGCAUAUGCGGUCAGAACAGCGUAUGUUUGGACUCUACUACAAGAACCGGGUAUAACUGCAAAUGUAAAGCUGGUUACGAUGGGAAUCCAUACCUUCAAGAAGGUUGCCGAGGUAACUAUGUUUUAACUUCUUUUUUCUUUCUUUCAUUCUUCUUUUGAGCGUUUAUUGUUUUCCUCACACAUUUCUUGUUGCAUCUUUUUCCUUGGGACAGACAUAAAUGAGUGUACUAAUAGUAGUCCUAUCCAUAGACAUAACUGUUCAGGUUCCAGCACCUGUGUAAAUACUAUGGGCCACUUCCUUUGUAGUUGCCCAUCUGGUUUUGAUUUGAAUGCCACAGCCAAUGGCUGUAUGCGUCAACACAAGUCUGAAAACCAUAGAUCGAUUAUAAUUGUUCUUGGUAAGCCUCCCUCACUUGUUCUUAAUUUUAUCUUGUGUGAAUUAAAACGAGUCUCUAAUCAUUUAUGGGUGAUAUGAUUAGGAACAACCGUCGGCUUCAUGGCCAUCCUGCUUGUUGUUGUCUGUAUACAACAGAGAAUGAGACACAUGAAAAACAUUGAGCUACGGAAACAAUUCUUUGAGCAAAACGGUGGUGGCGUGUUGAGGCAGCGACUCUCAGGAGAAGGGCCAUCAAAUGUUGAUGUCAAAAUAUUUACGGAGGAAGGCAUGAAAAAAGCAACUAAUGGUUAUGAAGCAAGCAGAAUCUUGGGUCAGGGAGGCCAGGGAACAGUUUACAAAGGGAUAUUACCAGACAGCUCAGUAGUUGCUAUAAAGAAAUCUCGGCUUGGAGACAGCAGCCAAGUAGAGCAGUUCAUCAACGAAGUGCUAGUUCUUUCACAGAUCAACCAUAGGAACGUGGUCAAGCUCUUGGGCUGCUGUCUAGAGACUGAAGUUCCCUUGCUGGUCUAUGAGUUUGUAACUAAUGGCACCCUUUUUGAUCACUUGGACGGUUCCUUGUUUAAUUCUUCUCUUACAUGGGAACACCGCCUGAGGAUAGCAAUAGAAGUCGCUGGAACUCUUGCCUACCUUCACUCUUCUGCUUCUAUUCCAGUCAUCCACCGUGAUAUCAAGACUGCUAAUAUUCUCCUGGAUGAGAACUUAACUGCCAAAGUAGCAGACUUUGGUGCUUCAAAGCUGAUACCGAUGAACAAAGAGCAGCUCACGACUAUGGUACAAGGCACUCUGGGUUACCUAGACCCGGAAUACUUCACCACAGGGUUGCUGAAUGAAAAGAGUGACGUUUACAGCUUUGGGGUAGUCCUGAUGGAACUUCUCUCAGGUCAAAAGGCAUUGUGCUUUGAAAGGCCAGAGUACUCAAGACACUUGGUGAGUUACUUUUCUUGUGCCACAAAAGAGAAAAGAUUGAAUGAGAUUAUAGACAGCCAAGUAAUGAACGAGUAUAAUCGGAGGGAGAUUCUGGAAGCUGCACUAAUUUCUGUUGAGUGCACAAGACUGAUGGGAGAAGAAAGACCGAGGAUGAAAGAAGUAGCUGCAAAGCUUGAGGGCUUGAGAGUCUCGGAAACCAAACAUCAGUGGUCGGAUCGGUAUACUGAGCCAAGGGUGAAUGAGCAACUGAGCUAUGUUGAAACCAUAUCAGCGCAAGGGGAUAUGAGUAGCUCUGGUUAUGCAUCAAGAAUGUAGCAAGGUUGCACAUUGACGGUGGCCGCUGACAUUUUAUUAGUCAAAGCUCAGUCAAAAUCACAUCUAAGUCUUUUUUUUUAAUGAACAUUGUCAUUUCUUUUUUUAUUGUUUCUCUGCUCUGUUGUCCAUUUACAUUCAUGAACAUUUAUGCUUUUGACUGAUUCUUGUAUGUCCUCAAUAGUCAUGUUCAUGGUUCCCCUGAAUAUUAUUUCAAUACAAAUCAGAAAUACCACUAUGGAUACAAAAGAAACACGAAAGAAAGAAACACCAGAAUUUAAAAGAAAGCACAAAAAGACAGAUAAUUUGAUGAUGAUCACGGACCUGCUUCUUAGUUUCUUCAGCAUCUGUUUUUUUUUGGUGAAUUUUCAUAGAGAUAAGCAAAUGAAUGAAAGAUGUGAUUUGAAUACGAGCGCAAACAAAAAGAAUGAAAUGAGAGAGUGUUCAGGAGGAGGUCCAGUUAACCAAAAGAGAAUAGGCUUGGUUAAAAGAAGGACAAGGUUUCAUUAGCAUGAUUCGUGCCAUCCCUUUGCCAAGUUCUCUGUCCAACCCCCAUCAGAUACGAGUAGCACUAGCUACGAUAGGAUCAAGACCGUAGCAAGGUUAAACAUUUAAAGCUAGCCGAUGAUACUUAAUAGUCACGGCUCUGUCAAAACUCACAUUGAAGCCGGCCGCUGUUUUCAUACUGACAUUGAGAUACCAUUAUGGUUACAAAACAGCACAAGAUAGAAAGAAACACUCAAAUUUUAAAGAAUAAAACAGAGAGAGAGAGAGUUGUGAUGAUUGUUCUUCAACCAAACAUAUUAUUCAGCUUCUCCUCGUUAUUAACCAGCGCGUAGGCUUCGUCCAGCGAAGGAAGAGGAUCCAUCAUCAUGAUCUGAGUCCUGACAUAUCCUAAAUCUUCAUCCAAACCCAUCACAAACGCGUAACACUCCUCCUUCUCCCUCCCCUCCUCCGCUCUUUUCUUCACCUCGCAACGGCAGCCACCACAGGAACACUCCGGCAAGCGAUCGUACUCCCUUAGCUCCAUCCAGGCGCUCCUCAUCCUCCCGAAAUACCUCGCCACCUCGUCGCCAUCUUGCCUCAUCGCCAAGAUCCUCCGACGAAGCUGGUUGAUCUUAAAACCCACGCUCGGGACGAAUAUCUUCCUGAGAUCCUCCCAAGCUUUACGCGCCGUGUCCGCGAAAGCCGCGUGGGCUAGUAAGUCUUCGCUCACCGAACUCAUCAUCCAAGACAUAACCCUCGCGUUGCACACUUCCCAGGGUUGAUACAACGGCGAGGAAGGUUCGGGGAUCUCUACGGUACCGUCGACGAACCCGGUUUUGUUCUUUCUUCGAAGGAAUUGGAGGAAAAGAUUCUUCCAGGUGAAGUAGUUGUCGUCGGCUUGGCUUAGUAUAACCUUAGGGAAAUUCUCGUUGGGUUCGAAAUCUCGAUCGACGUAGUAAGGAGAUCUGGGAUCGAAUUCGGGAGAUAGGCUCGUGGUACUCUCCGCCAUUGACACUGCUCUCUGAGCUUUGUACACUGUUUUGUUUACACUUUCUAGGGAUAGCUUUUUAUCCCGCUACUAAUUUGAAAAGACGAUGACAACUAGCCGUUAUAUGAUUUUUAUCCGCUACUGUUUGAAAAGGUACUGACAAUCAAUGUUGAAAUGAAAAACAAUUAAUUUGUAGGAAAGCACUAACAAAUUUUGUUUUAUAUGAUGUAUAAAUUUUCCUUUGAUCAAAUAUAUAAACCAUACAAAAAAUCUUAUAUAUUAAAACAGAAGUCAUGACUUCUUUUGAUGUGUGAUUUUUUUAGUUUGGACUAUUUCUAAAAAAUAUCAUAUUUUACAUAAGUUCAUUAUUAUAUCUUUUAAUAUCUUUAUCAUUUUAUUUGAAAUACAAAUGAAUAUAUUUAAAAUGUUCUAACAAAAUCUUUUUAAAAUCUUCUUAGAAUCUUUUUAAAUUUAAAUUUAUCAUAAAAUAUAAUUAGAAAUUAAAAUUGAAUAUAGUUUUGGUUUAUAAACGAAAAUUUAAAUAAAAUGAAAUUGAUUAAUUUCACAAAUACAUUUACAAAUAAUUUUUAAAGAUUUUGUUAGAAAUAAAUAUUUAUUUUAAUUUUAAUUUUUUCAAAUUUGUUUUCUAAUAAAAUAAAAAUAUCAUGAUUUUUUGAUGAGUGAUAUUUUUAUUUGGACCCUCAUUUAAAUUUCAUAUUAAAUGUUACUCACUAAUGCUAAUAUACAUGAUAUUUUUAACUACUUUAAUCAUAAUAUCUUUUAUAUCUUUUAAUUGUUUUUAAAAAAAAUAAAAAAUUCUAACAAAUCUCUUGAAAAAGAUUAUAAUAAGAUCUUAAUUGUGAUAAAUUGAAUAUAAAUAUUUUCAACUAAUUUUGUAAUUAGUAAUGAAAUAUUACUAAAAGAAUAAAAUUAUAUCCUAUUUAAUCAAUUUUAUAAUAAUAUCUAUUAUUUUAAAAUAAAAACGUUAUAUUGAACAAAAUAUGAUAAAAUUAUUUUAAAUUGAUAACAUAUUUUAUUUUCAUAAAUAUAAAAUAUUUAUGCUAAAAAUAUAAUAUGUUGGUUGAACGGGUUAAUAUUAGUAAACUAUAUAAUACAUGUAAUACAUCCAACACUUGACCCUUGCGUUGCACACUUCCCAUGGUUGGUAUAGCGGAGAGGAAGGUUCCGGUAUCACGAAGGCGCUGUUGACGAAAUCGGUUUUGCUCUUGCUUAGAAGGAAUUGGAGAAAGUGUCUUUUCCAGAUGAAGUAAUUGUCCUCUGCUUGGCUGAGUAUAACCAUGGGGAGAUUCUCGUUUGGUUGAUAAUCUGGAUCGACAUAGUAGGGAGAUCUGGGAACGAGUUCGGGAGAUAGGCUCGUCUUACUUUCCGCCAUCUUCACUGCUCUCUGAGCUUUGAAUACUGUUGUUGUUGGUUUAUACUUUCUAGGGUUGCUUUUUAUCCCGCUACUGUUCGAAAAGAUAAUGAAUUUAUAUUGUUCCAAAUAAAUUCAUUUUGAUUUUGGGCUCAUAGUCUCUUGUAAUAUGAUUUUCUUAAAUAAGAAAAAGAUCCGUAAAGAGUUGGGUUUAAUUAGGCCUAGGUUCCUCCUCAACCCAAAAUAUUAGGGACUGACCAAACCAAAAGCUGUUACUGGCUUCAAGCAAUAUCAAGAAGAAAAGCAGAUGGUAACAAUAUCUGUCUCAGCCAAGAUUCGUGUUCUCACAAAGCUUACAUCUUUGUUCAAGCCCAUCAGAAACGCGUAAAACUUUUCCUUCUCAAAACAUCUGGUGAGUUACUUUGCUUGUGCCACCAAAGAGAAUAGGUUGCAUGAGAUUAUUGAUGGCCAAGUAAUGAAUGAGAGUAUAAUCAGAGGAAGAUUCAGGAAGCUGCAAGAAUUGAUAUUAUGUGUACAAGACUGAUGGGAGAGAGAAUGCAGGAAGUAGCUACAGAGAUAAAGGCCUUGAGAGUCGCACAAACUAAACACCAGUGGUCGGAUCAGACUUCUGGGGAGGAGACCAUAUCAAGAAUGUAAACAAGGUUGGACAAUGAAGAAGGCAGCUGAUUUCAUAUGACACUGAAACACCAUUAUGGUUACAAAAACAACUCAAUCAAAGAAACACUGAAAUUUAAAUAGAACAGAGACAAUUGUUCAAGUGAAAACAAUAUUAUUCAUCAUCUUGUCGAGUUCAACGUUGAUUCUGCUCUGCUAAGCAUCAAGUAGGCUUGGUUUAACGAAGGAGGAGGAUUCAUGAUCAUGAUUUGAGUUCUCAUAAAGCUUAAUUCCUUAUUCAAACCCAUCAGAAACGCGUGACGCUCCUCCUUCUCUCUCGCCUCUUCUGCUCGUUCCUUAACCUCGCCACACGAACACUCCGGCAAGGGAUCAUACUCCCGAAGCUCCAUCCAAGGAAUUAAAUGCUCCAGUACUCCUCUAUCGAAAAAAAGUUUUCAGAUACUCUCCAUCCUAAAUUCAUUUUAUUUUUAUUUAUUUUUAAUUCGAAAUCUGACUAAAAACCCAAUAUAUCAUUAAUGAAUAUAGUUAUUUACAGACUAUGCCAUUAAACCUAAUUUUCUUCCUUAUCUCUACAGAUCUAGAUCUAUCUUUCAUUCUUCAUCUUCUUUCUUUCUCUCUUCUCUUUUUUUCUCUCUUCUCUUUCAUUCAUUCUUUCAUUCAAAUCUCUUCUUUUUCGAAUCUGUUUUUCUCUCUGUUUCUCUUGUAUUAUUUUCGAUUUUCAUCUGUACUGAUUGCUCCGUUUUUAUCUUAGUUUUCUCUAUAUUUUUUUUGCUCUUCUUUGAAUCUAGAUCUAUCUUUCAUUCUUCAUCUACUGAUUUUUCUGUUUUUUCUUUUGUUCUUCUUUGAAUCUCAACUGUUUUUUUCAUUUUCUUCUCCACAUUUUCCUUCUUCUUCUCUACCUACUACUUCGCUUAUUCUCCGCAUCAACUUCAGUCUGAUUUUUGGUAUUAUCGGUUUUAAGAUCCAGAAACGCAUAUAUCAAAGUAGAACACGGAAGUGAAACUACAAACCCAGAAAAACAAUUUUACCAGGUUAUACUAUUUGUGUAACUUGGUAAAACUGUAUAACUAGGUUAUAAUCUUACUAAGUUGUAUCUUUUGACAAAUGUACAACUUGGUAAAACUACAACCUAGUUAUACAGUUUUACCAAAUUAUACUACUUUGUAACUUGGUAAAACUGUAUAACUAGGUGAUAGUUUACCAAGUUGUACCUUGACAAAUGUACAACUUGGUAAAACUAUAACCUAGUUAUACCAGUCUUGAGGUAUAACUUGGUGAAACUAGGACAUAGGUACACCAAAAAAUAUAAUUUGAAAAUGAUAUAACUUGGUUUAACUUAGGUCAACUUUCACUAAAAUUCAAAAUUCAAAUUUUAAAUUUGAUACCUAAAAUUCGACAAUUGUAAAACUUGUUUCAACUGGGUUCGUAGUUUCAUUAAAAUUCAAAAUUCAAAUUGUAAAUUUGAUACCUAAAAUUCAAAAUUUAAAUUUUUAAUUGAGGAGGGAAAACGUAAGGGCAAAAUUGGAAAUCUCUUAUUUCAUGAAGAGUAGAGAGUAUGUCAGAUUUCGUAAGAGUACCUCAGAUCACUUUUUGCCUCAUUAAGAGUAUAUGAGAUUUUUACUCCCAUCCAAGCGCUCCUCAUCUUCCCGAAAUAUAUAAGCACCGAGUCGCCAUCUUGCCUCAGCGUGGCGAUCCUCUGACGAAGCUCGUAGAUCUUGAAGUCCACGCUCGGGACGAAUAUCUUUCGGAGAUCAACCCAAGCUUUAUGCGCCGGGUCCGCCAAACCCACAUAGUGUUUCAAUUUUUCGCUCAGGGAACUCAACAUCCACCACUUAACCCUCGCGUCGCACACUUUCCAUUCUUCGUAUAGCGGAGAGGAAGGUUCCGGUAUCGCCAUGGUGCCGUCGACGAAGGCGGUUUUGUUCUUGAUUAGAAGGAAUUGGAGAAACUGGUUCUUCCAGAUGAAGUAGUUGUCCUCGGCUUUGUUGAGUUUAACCCUAGGGAGAUUCUCGUCGGGUUCAUAAUCUGGAAAAUAUGGAUCGACAUAGUAGGGAGAUCUAGGAUCGAAUUCAGGAGAUAGACGACUCGUCAUACUUUCCGCCAUUGUCAUGGCUUAUCUUUUUUUUUUUUUGUCAAACAUUUCUUUCAUUUAUAUCUCAAAAUAGAGUAAUAGAGGAACAUAGUCUGAAGAAAACACACAUUGCAAUUGCAACAGCCAAACAUAAUGCCGUGCACUGAUAAAAGUUAAAUGAUAGAGGACUGAAGAGAGUGGCAAGGUUUGUAAGGAGACAACCUGCGAUCUCGUUCAAAUCUAUCCCUGAAUGCAGGGCAGAGAAGAGGACAAUAGAGUCCCAAAUUUCUUGAAGCUUUGAAAAUCCAGCAGAUGAUGCUGAAGGAAGGGCCACCUGCAACGUCAAAGCUUUGGCUGCAAAGGUUGAGACCACAUAUAGUAUCCUAGCAGAGCUUUGAGAGUCAUGGGCUUCAUCCAUACCAUGGAUACACCAUCCAAGACCUCUAUUUUUUGAAGCAUCAGUCCCUGAUACCAUAGAAACCAAAGCCAACAAGGCAAAGGUUCUAGUACCAACCCCAUACUGAGGUACUAAAGGGGCAGAACACAGUGUAACAUCCUCAUAUAGAGGUAAAGACAACAGAUCGCUUGCAACAUCCUCAUAUAGAGGUAAAGACCGAUCGCUUGCAACAUCCUCAAACUGAGGUAAAAUAAGAUUCAAAGGGAGGACAAUAUCCUCAUUCAGAGGUAAAGGACUCAUCUUGAGACAACUAACUCCUAAAACGAGGCAAGGUUCAUACAGGUAAGACUUGUUCCAUGAAGAAACAGAGACAAUACCUUUUGAAAGCUUGACUAAGAGAGAGGAGGUUUCUGCAAAGAUAAACUGUGGCUCGAGCUGAAAAGAGGAACUGUGCUGAAAUCUGCACCAAGCAGUAGAAACACACACUCCAAAUAACACGAAAACAGUCCCGGUUAAACCAAUGGUCGAUGCAAAGAACCUCAGAGGAGAAGCUACAGAAACAGGAACCGGAGAGCUGAACCGAGAGAGGAAGACGACGAGAUUGAUGGAGGAUUCGAGGGUUUGAAGGAGAGGAGCGAGGAGAAGGGGAACGUCUGGGGGUUCUGGAGGUUCUGGAGGGACGAUGAGGAAGCGAGCUUUAAACGGACGAGACUUACACAGCGACCACGGCGGCAGAUCUGGAGGAGGUGGAUCUGGAGGAGGUCUGAACCGUGACGGAAAAGGAGUCACCAUCAGGACCAUGGAAAGGGAGAGGAGCUGCUUCAGAGGGAAGGGGAAAGAACGGCGGAGCGGAGGAGAUUCAUCUGAGCGGCGCACCUUGGGAAUCGGGCCAGAGAGGAUUUCUCUAGGGCGAACUCUUCAAUAUUAACAUACUAAUUAAAAAGGACAAAUAAUUUGGCAUGGCUUAUCUAAGCUUUGUUUUUAUACUUUUCUAGGGUUGCUUUUUAUCCCAUCCUCGGCCCAAAAUAUUAGGGACUGACCAAACCGAAAGCUGUUACAUUAUCAACAAGAAAAUCAGAUGGUAACAUUAUUUGACUCAGCUUCCCUAAGCGUGUUAGUAGGAGAGUGCGAGUAAAAAUAACAGAAACAAAACUCAUAUCACCAAUCAGGUUUUGUAGAGAAGCGGUGAAGUUGUGACUCAUCAACGAUAUACAAUACUUGUUGUUGUGAGGCAAUUACUGAGUACUGAAAACGACACACAUAUUCCAUUAGGACAUACAGAAGAGAGGAGUCAUGUGCACUGGCAUUGAGACAGUUCAUAUAUAUUAUAACAAAAUCAUGGUGGCCCUCUGUGUUUUCAGUGGAUGAAAACUUAAAAAUUUGGGAGGAAAAAAACGUACUUGCUGAUGCAAUACAAAACACGAUUUUGGCAAAGCUGGUGAAUUUUCAUAGAGAUAAUUAAACAAAUGAAUAAAAGAUGUGAUUUGAAUAUGAGCUGACAAAGAGAAUGAAUGGGAGAGUAUUCAGGAGGUGGUCCAGUUAACCAAAAGAGAAUAAGCUUCGUCAAAAGAAGGCCGAGGUUUCAUAAGCAUGAUUCGUGCCAUCCCUUUGCCAAGUUUUCUAUCCAAACCCAUCAGAAACCCGAAAAGCUUCUCCUUCUCUCUCGCCUCCGAGGCCCUUUUCGCCACAUCGCACACACAACCGCCGCAGGCACACUCCGGCAACGGAUGAUACUCCAACAGCUCCUGCCAAGCAAGAUCCAGUUCCUGGAAAUAGACGGCCAGCGAGCGACCACCUUGCAUGGGCAUCGCGGUCGUCUCGCGAAGCUGAUGGAUCUUCCAAUCGACGUUAAGAGCAUAGACAAGGGAAUGCGUGAUGUCCACGUCAUUGUUCGAACCAAUCAGAAACCCGAAAGCCUUCUCCUUGUCUCUCGUCUGAGUCUCUUUAGCCCGUUUUGAGAUCUCGCACCGGCAACCUUCGCAUAAACACUCCGGCACGGGAUCAUACUCAGACAACUCCUGCCAAGCAAGAUCCAGCUUCGCGAAAAAACUGGCGACUGAACCAGCGCCUUGAGUCAUCGUCGCGAUCUUACGUCGAAGAUCGUAGAUCUUAAACUCGGAGCUAGGGGCAAAUAUACGACGGAUAUCAUCCCAGGCUUUAUGCGCCGUCUCGGCGAAAAACACAUAGUACUGCAGCGCUGGGCUCACCGAGUUUAGCAGCCAACACGCGACCAUCUCGUUACACUGUUUCCAUGCGUCGUAAAAAGGUGAGGAAGGGUCGGGUCUAACGAGGGUGCCGUCGACGAAACCUCUUUUGUUCCUGAUUCCAAGGGAUUCAACAAUAUCUCUUUUCCAUGCGAAGUAGUUGUCUUCGGCUUCGCGGAGUAUAACCGUAGAGAGCUUGUUUUCCGGUCGAAAAUCUGGAUCAAGAUAAUAGGGAGAUUCAGGAUCGUGCGUGGGAGAUAGGCUCAUCCUAGUUUCCAGACUUAUCACUGAGCUUUGGUGACCUUUUUUGUUUUGUUUCUCUAUGGUUUGCUUUUUAUACAUGAAGUCUCUCUUUACUCAUUCCCAAUCCCAGCUGGUAAGUAUCUAGAGUAUCUGACUCGUACUUAUCUAUAUAGGUUUAUUUUUGGGUAUAAUGAUUUACUAGGUGACCGGUCCGCACCCUGUGCGGGCAUAAGAACAUGAUCGGUUCGCACCCUGUGUUCUCUCUCGGCCUGUACCUCACGAGAGGGAACACAGUAACGUCAGUAUGAAGAAGCAGAUAUUGUGUGUAUGUAUAAUUGCAACGUCACAAAAUAUUUUGUGUGUUUACGAAGAUACUUUCAUUCAAAAAAUGGAAUAAAUAGUGUAUAAUUUUAGAAGUAACAGAUUUUAUAUUAUCAUUAAUUAGAAUUGUAUUGUAUAUGUUUCGUAAUUCUUUAUUUUAGGUGAAUAAUAUUAUUUUUCAAUAAAUAAUAAACAAACAUUUAUGUAGACAUAUUAAAAGAAAAUAUAAUAAAAAUCAAAAUAUUAUCCAUAAAUAAUAUAAAUUAUGAAGUACAUUUCUCGAUAAAGAAAGCAAAUUCAAUUAGAAACGUGCAAAAAAUUAAUUAAAUUUUGUAAGCAAUUUGACGGGUUAACAUUAUUUGAUAAAUUUAUAAAUUUCUAAAUUUUAUUGAACAUGAAAUAAUAUUAAAUUGACAUACCGUCAUCGGUCUCCUAACUCAUCACAACCCAUCUGGCAAAUACAAAAAAUAAAUAAUUGUAACAGUUUAUAUAUUUUAAAAUUUGUAUUUGAAAAAAAUAGAUUAAAAUUACGUACCGUGACUACGGAAUAUUCUGAAAAAUUUGUUUGUAGACAACAUUCAAUGUUUUUGUCUUCGGCUUCCCUUCUUUACCAGUUAUUAGGAUUUUUAAUCCAGAUCUCGACUUAACUCUUGAAAGUGCAACUUUGCCUUGCAUUUUGUAAGCAUUUUAUAAAUUAUUUUAAAAUUAUGAUAAAUUUAUUCUUUAAACAACGAUAAAUAAUUUAAAAAUAAUAUUAAUAAACAUUUUUGGAUUUUGUAAUAUUUAAAAUAGUUAUUAUAUAAUUAUAUUCGAACACAAUUCAUCAAGUAGAGUAUAAAACUAUUAUAAUUAUCUUAUAUAAAAUUUCGUUCAUUGUAUUUUAUAGGUUAUAAAUAUUAAAAGUAAUAAAUAAAACAUUAUUAGUCUUUCAAUAAUUUCGAGAAUAGUUUCCAUAAAUUGUUAUUUGUAAUAUUCGUUAGAUUAUAUGGCAAGUGAUGUUAAACGUCAAUAAGUUAAACAAUUCUUCCAUAUUUGGAAAACAUAUAUAUAUAUAUAACAAUGACAAAUUAAAUGGUAGAGUAUGUAAACACCUGUUUUCUACCAGGGUGAGUUAGAACACCGCUGUAUUUAAGAAUCAUAAGGGCCUCUACAGGUCUUUAUUCUUCGUCUUCAUCAUCCCACUUCAGCGGCUUCAGUUGAACCUUCCUGUAUAUCCCUGAGAAAUUUCCUCCCUGCGCCAUUUCAAAAGGUUCUCUGUUGUGAGAAAAUGACCUCAUGAAUUGAAUAAAAAAUGCAUAAUGCUAGCUUACUUAUAAGAUAGUAUAUUCAACAAAAUAAAAUGAUAUAAGAUAGUAUUACUAAAUGAUACUAUGUAAUAUUUUCCCGGACAAUAUUCAACAAAGAGAGAGAAAGUAAUAAAGAACCUCUUCAAGAACUGCUUUAACUUGGCAAAGCUUCUCAGCAUGUUCAAUCAAGGUUAUCUGGAUCACUAUCACUCUCACGACCUGGUCUACAUAUAAAAAAAGGAAGACCAUAUUGUCGUUACCAGUAUUCAACACAUGGAAAAGAUAGACCAUACAUGCUUUUUGGAGACAAAACACAAAGAGUUGAGUUCAGGGUUCUAAAGAUGAGGAGCCUUUGCGUCUAAACACAUUUUUCUUAGCACACAAGCAGCAUUGUCGUAAUACCUUAAUAGUAUGAGAGGAGAGAUUUGUGAAUAAUACUUUAUAGAAUGAAAUCAAAAGGUUCUCUGCUGUGAGAAAAUGACCUCAUGAAUUAAAUAAAAAAUGCAUAAUGCUAGCUUACUUAUAAGAUAGUAUAUUCAACAAAAUAAAAUGAUAUAAGAUAGUAUUACUAAAUGAUACUAUGUAAUACUUUCCCGGACAAUAUUCAACAAAGAGAGAGAAAGUAAUAAAGAACCUCUUCAAGAACUGCUUUAACUUGGCAAAGCUUCUCAGCAUGUUCAAUCAAGGUUUUCUGGAUCACUAUCACUCUCACGACCUGGUCUACAUAUAAAAAAAGGAAGACCAUAUUGUCGUUACCAGUAUUCAACACAUGGAAAAGAUAGACCAGACAUGCUUUUUGGAGACAAGACACAAAGAGUUGAGUUCAGGGUUCUAAAGAUGAGGAGCCUUUGCGUCUAAACACAUUUUUCUUAGCACACAAGCAGCAUUGUCGUAAUACCUUAAUAGUAUGAGAGGAGAGAUUUGUGAAUAAUACUUUAAAGAAUGAAAAGAGAAUGUUUGUAUUUUAAGACCUUGGGUGUCUCCUAUAUAUAUACAGUCGAUUUAUUCUCAUAUUAAUGAUUUUAAUAUUUUGCACAAUAAAUAAUAAAAUCGUUUAAAGAAAGAUAUUAAAUGUGUAUUGUCAAAAAAUGAUUUGCAUAUGAUAUGAUUUUAACUUGCGCAAGUAAUCCAUAUUAGAAAGGUAAGUUAUUAAAAACAAACAACCUAAUUAGAAACAUUAAAAUAUUUUGUAAGCAAUAUAAUAAAUAUGAUAUCAACAUGCGCAAGUUUACCGUUUGAAUAAUAAGGAAAGUUUUUAAUAUUUGUCUUAAUUCUAAAUCUUGCCCAAUGGUAAUCUAAAUCGAUAAAAUUUAAUGAUUUCAACUUGUGCAAGUAAUCCAUAUUGUGAAUAAGUGAUUUGCAUAUUUAAUGAUUUCAACUUGCGCAAGUAAUCUAUAUUAGAAAUGUAAGUUAUUAAAAACAAAUUUUGUCAAUAAGUUAUUUGCAUAUUUAAUGAUUUCAACUUGCGCAAGUAAUCCAUAUUAGAAAGGUAAGUUAUUAAAAACAAACAACCUAAUUAGUAGGGGUGGACACUUUACCCGAUAUCCGAAGUGGCAUCUGAACCCGAUCCGAAAAACCCGAACUGAAAUCCGAACCGAAGUAGCAAAAUACCCGAACGGGUAUUGAAUAAGGAGAGAUUGGAUACCCAAACCCGAACGGAUAAUACCCGAACCCGAAUGGAUAUCCGAAGAUAACUGAACAUAUGUAUAAUUAACUUUAUAUUUUUAGUUUACAUCUCUCAUUUUAUAUAAAAUAUUUAUAUUGAUACUACACAUACUUUAAGUUCAUAUGAUAUACAUACAAUUACGAAAAAAAUGAUUUGCUACUCACUUAAAAUGCAUGUCAAGUUGUUUAUUUAAAAAAAUAACAAAAAGUUACAUCUGAAAUUUAAAAAAAAUAACUAAAUUAAUGCCUUUUUAGUUUUAAAAUGUUAUGUCCAAAUCUAUUAACUAUUCAAUCUAUUAAAAAUAAAAAAUUAGUUAACUGAAAGUUAUAUUUUUAAAUAUAAGAAACUUGAGAAAUGAAAAAUUAAUUUUUUUUUAAAAAAUCUAAAUAUCCGAACCAGAUCCAAAAUAACCGAAUCCGAACUAAAAAUACCCGAACCCGUCCCGAAGUACAGAAAUACCCGAACGGGUUCUACACCUCUAUACCGAAAUAUCCGAAAAUCUGAAAUACCCGAUCCGAACCCGAAUGGCUACUAAUCCUUCUUCCUCCCAAUGCGAAUAUUAUGAAACAUAUUUCUAGUUGCCGAAAAGCUUUAAGCGAAUGGAGAAGACAACAUAACGUUAAUUCGGCAAGAUUGGUGGAGGAGUGUAAAGAAAAAGUGGAGGGUCUGUAUGAAGAUGACAAUGCUACAACUGAGAAAAUUGCAGCAGCGUUGAAAGAACUUUCGGAUGCUCUUAAGUCAGAAGAAAUGUUCUGGAAACAGAAGAGUCGAGUGUUUUGAUUGAGAGAAGGGGACAUAAAAAUAAAAUACUUCCAUGCUUUAACUAAGCAAAGAAGAGCAAGGAAUAAAAUUACGCAGCUCUUAGAUGAAAAUGGAAAUAUAGUUGAGGAUGAAGAAGGAUUAGUAGCCAUUGCUACUAGCUACUUUAGACAGAUCUUUGAAUCGUCUAACCUAGAGGACAUUGAAGAGGCACUAGCUCAAGUUCCUACGACGAUCACUGGGGCAAUGAAUGAGAGGUUAAAUUAGCUUUUUUCGCUAUGCAUCCAGACAAGGCCCCUGGACCAGAUGGGAUGACGGCGCUUUUCUACCAAAAAUUUUGGGAUAUUGUAAAGGAAGAGUUAACUCGUAUGGUUAAUAAAUUCCUUUUUGAUAGAACGGUGGAGAAUGGACUCAAUGAUACAAAUAUAUGUCUCAUCGUAGAGGCUUACGCCAAGGAGAUCUUUUGUCUUCAUUCAUUUUUAUUCUAUGCACGGAAGCGCUCGCUAUCCUUCUUAAUCAUGCAGAGAAUCAAGGGAAGAUAAUAGGGAUGCGUAUCACACGCGCGUGUCUUUCGGUAUCCCACCUUCUCUUUGCUGAUGAUAGCCUUUUCUUCUGUAAGGCGGAGCUCCGUGAAUGUGAAGAAGUAAUGAAAGUAGUCAGGAUAUAUGGUAAAGCAUUUGGCCAAUGUAUUAAUUUUGAUAAAUCUUCAUUACUCUUUGGUAAAAGGAUUAAUACAUCUACUAGGCAAGUGAUUAAAGAUACACUUGGAAUACAUAAUGAUGGUGGGAUGGGGAACUACUUAGGAAUCCAAGACGAUAUUAGUGGUUCCAAAUGCAAACUCUUUGCAUUCCUAAAAGAUAACCUGAUGCAUACAGUAAAUGGCUGAACGGGUAGAUGGCUUUUGAAAGGAGGGAAGGAAGUAAUGAUCAAAUCCAUUCUACUCGCACUUUCGACAUACGUUAUGUCGACGUUUUUGCUCCCAUUGGAGAUUUGUGAAAUCCUAGCUAGUGCCAUUACAUAAUUUUGGUGGAGCUCUAAUCCGCCGAAAAGAGGAAUACAUUGGGCAAAAUGGGAAAAGGUUUGUCUACCAAAAGAAGAGGUCGGGAUUGGCUUCCGCUUAAUUGAUGAGUUUAAUCUAGCUCUAUUGGCAAAGCAAUUAUGGAGAUUGGUUCAGUAACCUGAUUCACUGGAUGCUCGAGUCUUGAGGGACAUAUAUUAUAGACUGUCUUCGCCAUUAAGAGUAACAUCUACAAGUAGUCCAUCAUAUGUGUGGACAAGCAUUUCUGCUGCAAGGAAGCUUUCACUUUUAGGGAUCAGACAGAAGAUUCACUUUGGUUAUGAAGUUAAGAUAUAGGAAGAUCCAUGGAUCCCGACGACGCCUACUAGACCAGCUACACCUGUAGCGCCUGUUUUGCAUCCGAAUAUGAGAAUUAGUGACCUCAUUAAUCAGGAAUUGAAGGAAUGGGACGUGAGGCUACUAGUGGAUUAUGUCCACCCCGAUGACAUACCACUCAUCUGUAGUAUGGCCAUAAGCUCUACUCAUCGUCGUGAUACUUUAUGUUGGAGCUACACGAGGAAUGGGCAAUACACAGUUAAAUCUGGAUACUGGGUUAUUCAAAAUAUGUUGAAAUCAGAUGAGAAAAAGGAAAUUCUGGAACCGAGUAUCACUAAGCUUCAAGCCUUUGAUUGGAAGUUAAAAGCGCCAAGGAAGAUGUGCCAUCUUAUAUGACAAUUGAUAACGGGUCAGGUGGCAGUAACGAGAAAUCUAGUAAGACGGAAUAUGAGGUGAGACAAUUAUUGUCCAAGGUGUGGAGAAAUAGAAGAAUUUGUAACUCACGCAAUAUUUGAAUUCCCUCUAGCUCUCCAAGUAUGGUCUUUAUCAGUAAGUCCUUGAUGCCCAACUACAUUUCCAGUGUCAAGUGUCUACACAAACAUGGACUAUCUUUUUUUGCUGGAGGAAGAAUGAUAUCUUAGAACCAGACCAAAACAGGGAUCCUUAUCCCUGGAUAAUAUGGUACAUUUGGAAGGCUCGUAAUGAUAAACUCUUCAGGGGAAUAGACAGAGACCCUUUGGAACUAGUUCGAUACGCAACAAGUGAGUGUCAAGCAUGGUUUAACGCAAAUGAGAUGAUACCACAUGUGGUACAAGUCAGCUAUAACGAGGAAUACCAAGUCUUAAGCUUGGGUAAUAUUUGCCUGCUAAAUGGAUCUUGGACAGCUUACGAUCGAUUUAGUGGAUGUGGAUGAGCCUGGAUGGACAGUGGGGAGAAAAUACAACUCAUGGGAACUCGGAAUUACACUCGAUGUGAAUCAGCAUUGCAUUCGGAGGUAGAAGCGCUGCGAUGGGCGAUGGAGAAUAUGCUUUAACACUCGCCAUGCCAAAACUUUGGAACAGACUGCAAGGAGCUGAUUGCAAUGAUAAAGAAACCCCACGAGUGGCCACGCUUCGCGAUAGAAUUGGAGAAGAUAGAGACGCUCCUGACUUGCUUCCCGGACUUCAAAAAUAUCCAUAUACCACGAGUGUGCAACCAGUUUUCUGUUUUUUUAGCUAAGACUGCUAGAACCUUCCGUAGGGAGUUAUUUUUUAUUGGUUGUUUUAUUCUGAUCUGGUAACCAGACCACCUCAAGCUUGAGUAAUAGAAUGACCGUUCGACGUCAAAAAAAAACCAUAAAUAAGAUACUUGCAUUGGAGGACAAAAUUUAGAAGUUGUUUAAAAAAAGUGCUGAACACCCUUUUAUUACUAAAAAGGUGAUUAAAAGUUUCAAUAGGGAUGCUAGGGUUAAUAGUACUCUAAAAACCGAUUCUUAGUCGAAAAGUGUGAAAAAAAAUCUCAAAUCAUAAGUUAAUAAUCCCAAACUAAUAAUCCGGGUUAAUCUCGCUCUAAGCCAACAAAGUAUAAUUAAAUCAGUUAUAAACAUUGGGACGUAUGAAAAACACACAAUCUACAGAUUAUCCAGCCAAUAUUGGGCUUCUCUUAUCCAAUUGAACACUCCAAAACUCAACUCUGUUUUUUUUUUACUGAAACCAAAACUACCUCUGUUGCAAUGAUCAAAUACUGAAAGUCAACUUUUGUGGCUGUUUUAGGUUAGGAUAUCGUUUUAGCUUGUAUUCAGUUAUAAUUAUUCUUUUUCCGAUCUCAAAGUUUCAGAUUAUUAACUAAAUUUUAUAUUAAGUUUGCGGGUCUGUUUGUUUGAUGUGCAAGAAAGUAAAAAGACAGGAGUUCUCAAGAUCAAUGUGAUUUUGGUAUGUCUUGGUGAGCUAAAUACCUAGCUCACUAGAGUAUAUUGAUCAGAAGCAACUUUACAAGAAAUCAAUCACACCCAACUCUCCUCUCACACAAACAGAAAUUUCUCAGAAAAUGAAGUUGUCACACUAAUAGUUGUUACAUUGAAGAUCUUGGAGAAUAUCAUUCUAAUAGAGAGAGAAAAUUUGAACUUUCUAUACAGUGAGACUAGCCAACUUAUUUUAGGAGUAUGCUUGCAUGCAUGAGAAAUUGAAGAAAAACAAACUUAUAUUAAUUGGACAAAGCAAACUUGCACAUGAAAAAUAAUCAGAAAGGAACAAGGCGUAAACUUACAAACGUUUCUAUGACUACUGAUUACGUGCAUAUUGAUAUGACCAUUAGUUGAUCAACACACACAUAUUUCAAAUUUAUUGCAAUAAAACUUUUAAAAUACGUUGGAAAAGAUGAGAAAGCUUUCAAUGCUUCGAUUCUCUAGUUCAGUCUAGGUUUCUCUUAUUACAAUCACCAAUAACGGUUUCCAUCUUGUCUUUGUCUUCUUGUGUACAUCGUGUUCUCACCUGCAAAGAAUAUAUAAUACACAAUAUAAUUGCUGUGAUGCAUGCUUCCACAUAGGAUUUUACUUGUUAACUAAAUUAACAAAUAGAUGUCGUAAGUAUUGAGAAAGUAUUUUACCAAAAAAAAAGUAUUGAGAAAGUAAUUACCGUGACAGAGAAUUCUAAUAGUGGUAUGGAGGAGGAGGAGAUUUGUAGAGGUAAGGAUGGUGUGGGGGAGAGUAGUGGUGGACUGGAGGAGGAGGUGACUUAUAUACGUACUUUUUCUUAGGUGGUGGUGGGGAAUGAUAAACCGGAGGAGGAGAGUAGUGCUUAACCGGAGGAGGAGGGGAUUUGUAGACGUAGUGCUUCUUUGGUGGUGGUGGAGAAUGGUAAACCGGUGGUGGAGAAUAGUGUUUAACUGGAGGAGGAGGGGAUUUGUACACGUAAUGUUUCUUUGGUGGUGGUGGGGAAUGGUAAACCGGAGGGGGAGAGUAGUGUUUCACUGGAGGAGGAGGAGAUUUGUAGACGUAGUGUUUCUUUGGUGGGGGUGGGGAAUGGUAAACUGGAGGAGGGGAGUAGUGCUUAACCGGGGGAGGAGGGGAUUUGUACACGUAGUGUUUCUUUGGUGGUGGUGGAGAGUGGUAAACUGGAGGUGGAGAAUAGUGCUUAACUGGAGGAGGAGGUGAUUUGUACACGUAGUGUUUCUUUGGUGGUGGUGGAGAGUGGUAAACCGGGGGAGGAGAGUAGUGUUUAACCGGUGGUGGAGGAGAUUUGUAGACAUAAUGCUUUUUAGGUGGGGGUGGGGAAUGGUAAACUGGAGGUGGUGAGUAGUGUUUAACCGGAGGAGGAGGAGAUUUGUAUACGUAAUGUUUUUUGGGUGGUGGUGGUGAAUGGUAGACUGGUGGGGGAGAGUAGUGCUUAACAGGUGGGGGUGGAGAUUUGUACACAUAGUGCUUCUUGGGUGGUGGUGGAGAAUGGUAAACAGGAGGAGGAGAAUAGUGUUUAACCGGAGGAGGAGGGGAUUUGUACACAUAGUGCUUCUUUGGUGGUGGUGGAGAAUGGUAAACCGGUGGUGGAGAGUAGUGCUUAACCGGAGGAGGAGGGGAUUUGUACACGUAGUCCUUUUUUGGUGGUGGUGGAGAGUGAUAAACCGGUGGUGGAGAAUAGUGCUUGACCGGAGGAGGAGGGGAUUUGUAUUCGUAGUGUUUUUUAGGUGGUGGUGGAGAAUGGUAAACUGGAGAGGGAGAGUAAUGCUUAACAGGAGGAGGUGGAGAUUUGUAUUGGUAGUGUUUAACCGGAGGUGGAGGAGAAGAGUAGAAAUAGUUAGCGGUUGAUUGAGAUACGAAGGUGAGAGAGAUUGUCAAGACAAGCAAAGUUGCUACUAAAGAGGCCACUGGAGACCCCAUUGAUUGUU